rnacentral:rRNA from 1 species
UACGUAGGGGGCAAGCGUUGUCCGGAUUUAUUGGGCGUAAAGAGCGUGUAGGCGGCCUGGUAGGUCAGCUGUGAAAACUCGAGGCUCAACCUCGAGACGCCGGUUGAAACCAUCAGGCUAGAGUCCGGAAGAGGAGAGUGGAAUUCCCGGUGUAGCGGUGAAAUGCGCAGAUAUCGGGGAAGAACACCCGUGGCUAAGGCGGCUCUCUAGUACGGUACUGACGCUGAGACGCGAAAGCGUGGGGAGCGAACAGG